rnacentral:rRNA from 1 species
GAUGAACGCUGGCGGUAUGCCUAACACAUGCAAGUCGAGCGAACAGAUAAUGAGCUCUUGCCCUUACCGUUAGCGGCUGACGGGCGAGUAACACGUGCAUCACAUACUUAUAUUUCUGGGGUAACAACGUGAAACCGGAUCCAAUACUGCAUAAUACAUCCUACCGCUUAGUUCAAUAGUUCUACAGGCCUUUCCCGUUACAUUUAGCCGGUUCCGCGCUGCAUUAGCUAGUUGGUAAGGUAACGGCUUACCAAGGCGACGAUGCGUAGCCGACCUGAGAGGAUGAUCGGCCACACUGGAACUGAGACACGGUCCAGACUCCUACGGGAGGCAGCAGUGGGGAAUAUUCGGCAAUGGGCGCAAGCCUGACGCAGCAACACCGCGUGAGUGAUGAAGGUCUUCGGGUCGUAAAGCUCUGUUAUUGGGGAAGAACAAAUGUAUGUGAAUCUCUGCACGUCUUGACGGUACCUAAUCAAAAAGCACCGGCUAACUUCGUG